rnacentral:rRNA from 1 species
UACGGAGGAGGCAAGCGUUAUCCGGAAUUAUUGGGCGUAAAACGUCCGUGGGUGGCCAUUCAAGUCUGCUGUCAAAGCAUGGAGCUUAACUCCAUAGAGGCAGUGGAAACUGAAUAGCUAGAGUUCGGUAGGGGUAGCGGGAAUUCCCAGUGUAGCGGUGAAAUGCGUAGAGAUUGGGAAGAACAUCGGUGGCGAAAGCGCGCUACUGGGCCGAAACUGACACUGAGGGACGAAAGCUAGGGGAGCGAAAGGG